rnacentral:rRNA from 1 species
GACGAACGCUGGCGGCGUGCUUAACACAUGCAAGUCGAACGGUGAAGCGCCUUCCUUUUUGGUGGGUGUGGAUGAGUGGCGAACGGGUGAGUAACACGUGAGUAACCUGCCCCCUUCUUCUGGAUAACCGCAUGAAAGUGUGGCUAAUACGGGAUAUUCUGGGUCUGUCGCAUGAUGGGUCUGGGAAAGAUAUUGUUUCGGUGGGGGAUGGGCUCGCGGCCUAUCAGCUUGUUGGUGGGGUGAUGGCCUACCAAGGCGGUGACGGGUAGCCGGCCUGAGAGGGUGGGCGGUCACACUGGGACUGAGACACGGCGCAGACUCCUACGGGAGGCAGCAGUGGGGAAUAUUGCACAAUGGGCGCAAGCCUGAUGCAGCGACGCCGCGUGAGGGAUGGAGGCCUGCGGGUUGUGAACCUCUUUCGCCAGUGAAGCAGGCCUGCCUCGUUUGUGGGUGGGUUGACGGUAGCUGGAUAAGAAGCGCCGGCUAACUACGUG